rfam:Buttiauxella agrestis ATCC 33320 GBAG.assembly.053, whole genome shotgun sequence.
GGGGCUGAUUCUGGAUUCGACGGGAUUCGCGAAACCCAAGGUGCAUGCCGAGGGGCGGUUUGCCUCGUAAAAAGCCGCAAAAAAAUAGUCGCAAACGACGAAAACUACGCCCUAGCAGCUUAAUAACCUGCUAAGAGCCUUCUCUCCCUAGCUUCCGCUCUUAAGACGGGGAUCAAAGAGAAGUCAAACCCAAAAGAGAUCGUGUGGAUACCUUGCCUGUGGUUGAAGCAUUAAAACUAAUCAGGAUAGUUUGGUAAUGGCGUGUCUACCCGCAGUUGCCCGGCGAAUGUAAAGAUAGACUAAGCAUGUAGUACCGACGGCGUAGUAAUUUCGGACGGGGGUUCAACUCCCCCCAGCUCCACCA